rnacentral:lncRNA from 1 species
UAUCCAGCGCUAUCGAUUGUAUAAUCCAAACGCACAGCUUGCCGUCCGGUUAUACAUAAAUUUAACGCACGCACUGUGUAUCGUGUCCCGCGUGCCUUCGUGUAACUGUCGCAUCCAGUCGAUUCAUGAUCGACUUCCUUUCUCCCGGGGAAUUAUUGCUUGGGUAUCCACUUGUGAUAACUUGUGUGAUAAACCGGCGCGGCCGGUCACCGCACCGUAAACACUUGCUCUCAAAUCUUGCGCGUUAAUUACACGCACCGCGCCCGCACCAGAUAUUAAAUUCUUGCCAGGACUCGUCGGGCAUCGAUCGACCCGCGUACACGAAGGACACGCGCACGCUCCGCCCGAAUACGUGAUUCUUCCGCGCUUCCCGCAAUUAACGCUCAAUUAAUGUCCUCCGUGAGAUCGCGCGCGGCGGUGAAGGGGGAGCGAGGGGGGGGGGGAUAGGGAAGGAGGACGCGCCGGAGAUAUGCGCCGCGAUCGAGAGAGACGCCGAGGGACGAACGAGGAGAAUGAAAACGCGGAUCGAUUACCAGAGCGUGCUAUCGUGCAGGCGUAAAAGGCGUAAACGCGUUGUUUUGCGUCGGCGAUAAUGCAACGCGCGAAAUAAUCAAUCGCGCGCGUCUGGUGAUCCCGAAAUUCCUCUUCUCCCUUCCCCUCCCUUGAAAUUUCCAUGUCAAAGGGUUGUAGCCGGAAUCGCUCGAUUCUCUCCUUCCGCGGAUAUGACCCGAACGAAAAUCAUUAAACGGAGAACAGAGAGAUCACGAUACUCUCUCUCUCUCCUUCUCGCAGAUGCUCUCGGGUUAGAGACCGCGGCGUCCUGUUCGUUAUGUCACCGGAGACGCGUGCCGCGGGAAUUACUUAAUCUCGCAGCGUGAGGUCAUCCCGGCCUCUGGAAAUAGACGGUGACAGUUCGCGGCGAACGCGACAGCGCGGCCGUGCAACACCACGUGCGAGUCGCCGGAGCCUCCCACGACGCGGCGGAUGGGACGAGAAACCGCUUAUAUGAUGAAAUUCGUGCAGCGCGUUUUUAUCGAGUGCAUACGACGCGCUUGUGUCCCUAGGCACGAAUCUUUUGUCGUUAAUAUGAAAUUAUAGAACAAAUAUUAAUGUAUCGUUAGUAUCUUAUAUUAAGUGACAAUUAUAUUAAAGUGACAAUUUUUUAAAUACAGCUUUAAGCUUGACGCACAUACGUAAAAUUGGUUUUGAGAAUUUAUUGAAUUCUGUAGAGUAAAUUAGGGUAGGACGGCCAAUGGCUAUAAUUUCUUCAAUAAUUGCUUAAUAAUUUCUUCUUGUAAUUAUUUUCAAAGCUAAUCGAUAUUUACUGUAGUUUAUGUGCGUAUAUUAUACUAUUCGAAAUAACACAAUAUUAUGGAUAUUGUAUCACGUUUUUACUUUUGACUGCCUGUAAAGUUUUCUCAUGUGUUCAUUUAAAAAUGUCGCAAUGUCGAAUAAAUUACAGUUAAGCUAUCAAAAUUAACAAAGGCACAUAACGAAGACAUGUAAAUUGCAAUUAUGUAAUGUGUGUAAAUUGUAAUUAUAUAUUUUAUUUCCUUUUCUAUUUUUUAAAUAAAUAUUGUGACUACCUUUCUCUCACAGUUUGGG